rnacentral:tRNA from 1 species
GCCCAGGUGGCGAAAUGGUAGACGCGCUCGUUUCAGGUGCGAGUGCUUAACGGCAUGUAGGUUCGAGUCCUAUCCUGGGCAC